UACGAAGGGGGCUAGCGUUGUUCGGAUUUACUGGGCGUAAAGCGCACGUAGGCGGAUCGUUAAGUCGGGGGUGAAAUCCUGGAGCUCAACUCCAGAACUGCCUUCGAUACUGGCGAUCUAGAGACCGGAAGAGGUGAGUGGAACUCCUAGUGUAGAGGUGGAAUUCGUAGAUAUUAGGAAGAACACCAGUGGCGAAGGCGGCUCACUGGUCCGGUACUGACGCUGAGGUGCGAAAGCGUGGGGAGCAAACAGG
rnacentral:rRNA from 1 species